rnacentral:rRNA from 1 species
GACGAACGCUGGCGGCGUGCCUAACACAUGCAAGUCGAGCGAGGAAUUCACCUUCGGGUGAUGAACUAGCGGCGGACGGGUGAGUAACACGUGGGCAACCUGCCUCAUAGAGGGGAAUAGCCUCCCGAAAGGGAGAUUAAUACCGCAUAACAUGGCAGUACCGCAUGGUAUAGCAAUUAAAGGAGUAAUCCGCUAUGAGAUGGGCCCGCGGCGCAUUAGCUAGUUGGUGAGGUAACGGCUCACGAAGGCGACGAUGCGUAGCCGACCUGAGAGGGUGAUCGGCCACAUUGGGACUGAGACACGGCCCAGACUCCUACGGGAGGCAGCAGUGGGGAAUAUUGCACAAUGGGGGAAACCCUGAUGCAGCAACGCCGCGUGAGUGAUGACGGUCUUCGGAUUGUAAAGCUCUGUCUUCAGGGACGAUAAUGACGGUACCUGAGGAGGAAGCCACGGCUAACUACGUGCCAGCCGCCGCGGUAA